rnacentral:rRNA from 1 species
CCUACGGGUGGCAGCAGUGGGGAAUAUUGGGUAAUGGAGGAAACUCUGACCCAGCAACGCCGCGUGAAUGAUGAAGGUCUUCGGAUUGUAAAGUUCUUUUCUAAGGGAAGAAAAUGACGGUACCUGACUAAGAAGCCCCGGCUAACUACGUGCCAGCAGCCGCGGUAAUACGUAGGGGGCAAGCGUUAUCCGGAUUUACUGGGUGGAAAGGGAGCGUAGACGGUUAAUCAAGUCAGAAGUUAAAACCCAGGGCUCAACCUUGGGACUGCUUUUGAAACUGAGUAGCUAGAGUGCAGGAGAGGUAAGCGGAAUUCCUAGUGUAGCGGUGAAAUGCGUAGAUAUUAGGAGGAACACCAGUGGCGAAGGCGGCUUACUGGACUGUAACUGACGUUGAGGCUCGAAAGCGUGGGGAGCAAACAGGAUUAGAUACCCCAGUAGUC